rnacentral:misc_RNA from 1 species
GAAACGCGAUAUUUAGUGCGAAUUGCAGAAUUCAGUGAAUCAUCAAAAUUUUGAACGCAAGUUGCGCUUCUGGGAUAUUCCUGGGAGCAUGCCUCUUUCAGUGUCGGGUCAAAAUACCAUCAUCUCUGAUGAUGAGUGUCGUGCAUUUCUGCGCUUGCUCGUGGAUCUGUCAAAUCUCACGCACAACUGGUCUCAUUGAUCCAUUGGACGCGCAAUCUUACACCUGGACAGUUUCUGUCUAUCGUGCAAUUGUCGUCAAAACAUGGAUUCAACUGGUUCCGCUAAAGUUGCGCCAACGUCGAGAAGCCUUGUGCCCUCGACACAAACUCAAACAAUGACCUGAGAGAGGUAAGAUUACCCGCUUGACUUAA